AGCGACCGCUAUUGGAGUUCGAUUAAGCCAUGCGAGUAGAAAGAAAUUAGAUUCUUUGCAUACUGCUCAGUAACACGUGGAUAACCUGCCCUACACUGGGGGAUAAUCUCGGGAAACUGAGGAUAAUACCCCAUAGACCACUACGCCUGGAACGGUGAGUGGUUGAAAGCUCCGGCGGUGUAGGAUGGGUCUGCGGCGUAUCAGGUCGUAGGGGGUGUAAUGGACCUCCUAGCCAUCGACGCGUACGGGUUGUGGGAGCAAUAGCCCGGAGACGGAUUCUGAGACACGAAUCCGGACCCUACGGGGUGCAGCAGGCGCGAAAACUUCACACUGCAGGAAACUGUGAUGAGGGAACUCCAAGUGACUGCACAAUGUGUAGCCUUUUCUUGAAUCUUAAUAGUUCUUGGAAUAAGGGCUGGGAAAGACCGGUGCCAGCCGCCGCGGUAAUACCGGCAGCUCAAGUGGUCGUCGCUUUUAUUGGGCCUAAAACGUCCGUAGCCUGUUUGGUAAAUCUGUGGGUAAAUCAACGAGCUUAACUCGUUGAAUUCUGCAGAGACUGCCAGACUAGGGACCGGGAGAGGUAUGAGGUACUCUGGGGGUAGGGGUAAAAUCCUGUCAUCCUCAGAGGACCACCUGUUGCGAAGGCGUCAUACUGGAACGGAUCCGACGGUCAGGGACGAAGCCUAGGGGCACGAACCGGAUUAGAUACCCGGGUAGUCCUAGGUGUAAACGCUGUGGAUUUGGUGUGUGGGGUCCGCAAUGGGCCCCAUGUGCCGGAGUGAAGAUGUUAAAUCCACUGCCUGGGGAGUACGGUCGCAAGGCUGAAACUUAAAGGAAUUGGCGGGGGAGCACUGCAACGGGAGGAGCGUGCGGUUU
rnacentral:rRNA from 1 species